rnacentral:tRNA from 1 species
GGCCACAUAGCUCAGUUGGUAGAGCAAGGGACUGAAAAUCCCUGUGUCCAUAGUUCAAUUCUAUGUGUGGCCACCA